rnacentral:ribozyme from 1 species
UGCCCAGCAACUCCUAUCCCUACCUCCUCGCAGUACCGGGGUACGAGGAAACUUAGGGAAGAUCGAGUAGCCAACCCCGGUGGGAACUCUAGUCGUAUGCUGACAGGGAAGG